UGCCAGACUCCUACGGGAGGCAGCAGUGAGGAAUAUUGGUCAAUGGGCGCGAGCCUGAACCAGCCAAGUCGCGUGAGGGAUGACGGUCCUACGGAUUGUAAACCUCUUUUGCCGGGGAGCAAGCGUGCGUUCGUGAACGCACGUCGAGAGUACCCGGAGAAAAAGCAUCGGCUAACUCCGUGCCAGCAGCCGCGGUAAUACGGAGGAUGCGAGCGUUAUCCGGAUUUAUUGGGUUUAAAGGGUGCGUAGGCGGGACGGUAAGUCAGCGGUAAAAAUGCGGAGCUCAACUCCGUCGAGCCGUUGAAACUGCCGUUCUUGAGUGAGCGAGAAGUAUGCGGAAUGCGUGGUGUAGCGGUGAAAUGCAUAGAUAUCACGCAGAACUCCGAUUGCGAAGGCAGCAUACCGGCGCUCAACUGACGCUGAAGCACGAAGGCGUGGGUAUCGAACAGGAUUAGAUACCCUGGUA
rnacentral:rRNA from 1 species